rnacentral:rRNA from 1 species
CGAAGCGGAGCAAAUCCCUAAAACGCCAUCUCAGUUCGGAUUGCAGGCUGCAACUCGCCUGCAUGAAGCUGGAAUUGCUAGUAAUCGCGGAUCAGCAAGCCGCGGUGAAUACGUUCCCGGGCCUUGUACACACCGCCCGUCACACCAUGAGAGUCGGGAACACCCGAAGUCCGUAGUCUAACCGCAAGGGGGGCGCGGCCGAAGGUGGGUCCGGUAAUUGGGGUGAAGUCGUAACAAGGUAUC